ensembl:snoRNA
GGAUAUUACUGUCUUUCACGAUGGCCUUCAGAAACCUGCCAUGGGUACUGCUCAGAAAGUCAAUUGGCAAAGCUGAUGCCAGAAG